rnacentral:rRNA from 1 species
CUGACUCCAUUCCGAACUCAGAAGUGAAACGAAAUAGCGCCGAUGGUAGUGUGGGGUUUCCCCAUGUGAGAGUAGGACAUCGCCAGGC